rnacentral:lncRNA from 1 species
CGCGGCUCAGAUCUGAUGUUGCUGUGGCUCUGGCGUAGGCCGGCGGCUACAGCUCCAACUGGACCCCUAGCCUGGGAAUCUCCAUAUGCCGCGGGAGCGGCCCAAGAAAUGGCAAAAAGACAAAAAAAAAAAAAAAAAAAAAAAAAAAAAGAGUUUGUUUCAGCGAUUCCAAAGAUCGUAGCUCUGUCAUUUCAAGACUAGGAACGGCCAUCGCUGACGUGGUACCGUGGUCAGCGCUUUUCUCUGUUACGUUUCUGGUUCUCAGUUAUGUGUCUCAGAGGAGCUGGGUUCUGCCACCAACCUUGUGUCUAACCAGCCACCAAAUACAGAACUGUCCAUUCCCACAGAACUAGACGGACCCGUCCCAAAACCAGGCACGCACUCCCCAGGUUGGAGCGCCACUCCUCAGGCACGCGGGUGGCGCGCGUGCGUCACACAGGUGUCCUUGGUAGCACCUGACACCAGAUGAGGGUCUGGCUUUUCCAGAUCAGGCCCCUGCUGGGUGUUUCUAGGACCACCGAUACGAGGGAGGUGGCGGGUGUGGACAGGAGCAUCUCAGGCACACGUAGGGCAAGCAGGGCUGGUUGCCCACCCAGAAGCCCCCCUCUCCCUGGGCACGCCUGCUCCCGGGGCAGCUGGGGCAGCUCACAGGGGUGGCACUGGCAGGACUGAGUGAAACGUAGACAGAGGGAGGUCACGAGACCCCUCCCCACGAAGCCUCUGGAGGCCACCUCCUCUCUGGACAGUGAGCACGUAGCAGGAGGGGUGGGGGGAGUCUGGGCACCUGCUUUGCACCCCCCACCCUGAGGAAGAGGCACAAUCAGCCGAGGACCCAGGUCCCCAAUGCCCAACUCUGCCCACCAGAGCAGUGGGGGGCCUGAGGGGGGACCUGCCUCUGAGCCCUCCCCUGGAGAGGGCUUCCCCACACACACACACACACACACACACACCCAUAUACACACGUGUGGGCAGCCUUUGGCAGGAAAGGGCUCUCUCCAGGAGGGCUUUGGUCCGGUCACUAACCUUACACCAGGCGCCCCAAGGCUCCACCCGUCUCUGGUCCUGGCAGGGCUUUCAAAUCUUUUGAUCACGCAAGACCUUGCCUGGCCUGCUGGUUCCUAGUGUGACUCAAAGUGGAAACGAAGCAUAUUCGUAAUUAAGGACGGUCCCUGCCCCGCCUCCCCUUCGAGAAGCUCCGAACAACUGCGUGAACAGACAGCAUCUGAAGCAAGAGCACGAGGAGUGACCAGCCUGGUGGGGAUGGCCGGACCCUGACCCCUGUCUCCGUGGUCCCCCGAGGUCGCGUCCCUUUUUCCUCUUAAAAAGUUCUCGUGGCCCAGCAGAGUCUUUGGAGGCGGUUUGGGGGGACGCUGCAUCCGCCGUCCACCGACUGCCGGGCUCUGAUGGAAGCAACUGCCCUUUGGGCCACCCACGGCUUCCAGGGUAUUGAUUUCAGAUCGGCGAGCAGCUAGAUCUGAGAUGGGGAACACACACCCCCCACAGACACGCACACACAUAUGCGGAGAACCACACAAAUACGCACGCAGACACAACCACACAUGUGCCCCGGUGUCCGGCCUGGGUCUCACUGCUGACACUGGGCUCCUGGGCUGUUCUAGAAUAUGGGCUUCCCUGACCGGCUCCAGGCUCCCUCCCGGCCGCCUCCUCGCUCGGUUCCUCUGCGGGUGUGCGGCGGUGGCUGGAGGCUGACUCGCCUUCGGGGCCAGGCAGCGGCCGUGACAGCAGAAGCAACACCCUGAAGAAGACAGAAGCCUGUCUCCAUGGCCUCCCUGCACGGGGACAAAGCCCCCUGCGGGGCCACUGACAGCUCCCUGCAGGACAUGGGGUCUGCCGGGUCCCCAGGGGCCGGGCUGGGCCCUGUCUUCCUGCAGAAGCCCGAGGCAGAAUCAUUCGCCUGGGUUCCUCUGCACUGCAAGGUCUCGGCUUUUUUUUGGUCCUUUUAGGGCUGUACCCUGCAUAUGGGGGUUCCCAGCCUGGGGGGGGAAUCGAAGCUACGGCUGCGGCCUACACCACAGCCACAGCAACACCAGUUCCAAGCUGCGUCUGCCACCUACGCCACAGCUCACGGCAACACGGGAUCCUUAACCCACUGAGCAGGGCCGGGGAUGGAACCCGUGUCCUCAUGGGUGCUCGUUGGGUUCAUUACCACUGAGCCACAGUGGGAACCCCUUUCUGGGCCUUCUAAAUC